AGUGAACGCUGGCGGUAGGCCUAACACAUGCAGGUCGAACGGCAGCACAGUAAGAGCUUGCUCUUACGGGUGGCGAGUGGCGGACGGGUGAGGAAUACAUCGGAAUCUACUUUUUCGUGGGGGCUAACGUAGGGAAACUUGCGCUAAUACCGCAUACGACCUACGGGUGAAAGCAGGGGAUCUUCGGACCUUGCGCGAUUGUAUGAGCCGAUGUCGGAUUAGCUAGUUGGCGGGGUAAAGGCCCACCAAGGCGACGAUCCGUAGCUGGUCUGAGAGGAUGAUCAGCCACACUGGAACUGAGACACGGUCCAGACUCCUACGGGAGGCAGCAGUGGGGAAUAUUGGACAAUGGGCGCAAGCCUGAUCCAGCCAUACCGCGUGUGUGAAGAAGGCCUUCGGGUUGUAAAGCCCUUUUGUUGGGAAAGAAAAGCAGCAGGUUAAUACCCCGCUGUUCUGACGGUACCCAAAGAAUAAGCACCGGCUAACUUCGUG
rnacentral:rRNA from 1 species